GAGUUGGUCGGACAGCCGCGGGGGUCAAGCGAAAGCUGGCCCAUGAGGAAAGUCCGGGCUCCACAGGGCAAGGAUAACGGGUAACGCCCGCCGAAGGCGACUUCAGGAAAAGUGCAACAGAGAGAUACCGCCCUGCCGCAUGGCGGGGUAAGGGUGGAAAGGCGAGGUAAGAGCUCACCCGUCGGCUGGAGACAGUCCGAUGCUGUAAACUCUAUCCGGAGCAACACCGCUAUGGGGACAUGAGGCUGGCCCGGCCGUCCCCGAGGUGGCUGGAGCGUAUCGGCAACGAUGCGCCUAGAUAGAUGGCUGUCAAGACAGAACCCGGCUUACAGACCAUCUCG
rnacentral:RNase_P_RNA from 1 species